GACGAACGCUGGCGGCGUGCUUAACACAUGCAAGUCGAACGGACAGGCCCUGCUUUUGUGGGGUGCUCGAGUGGCGAACGGGUGAGUAACACGUGAGUAACCUGCCCUUGACUGUGGGAUAACUUCAGGAAACUGGGGCUCAUACCGGAUAGGAGCUCCUGCUGCAUGGUGGGCGUUGGAAAGUUUCGGCGGUUUGGGAUGGACUCGCGGCUUAUGAGCUUGUUGGUGGGGUAGUGGCUUACCAAGGCUUUGACGGGUAGCCGGCCUGAGAGGGUGACCGGCCACAUUGGGACUGAGAUACGGCCCAGACUCCUAUGUGAGGCAGCAGUGGAGAAUUUUGCGCAGUGGGCCGGAGCCUGAUGCAGCAACGCCGCGUGCGGGAUGACGGGCUUCGGGUUGUAAACCACUUUCGCCUGUGACGAAGCGUGAGUGACGGUACUUGGUAAAGAAGCACCGGCUAACUACGUG
rnacentral:rRNA from 1 species